AUUGAACGCUGGCGGCAGGCCUAACACAUGCAAGUCGAGCGAGCGGCGGACGGGUGAGUACUGUCUGGGAAACUGCCUGAUGGAGGGGGAUAACUACUGGAAACGGUAGCUAAUACCGCAUACCAUCAGAUGUGCCCAGAUGGGAGUAGCUAGGAGGGGGGGAAACGGCUCACCUAGGCGACGAUCCCUAGCUGGGCUGAGCGGAGGACCAGCAACACUGGAACUGAGACACGGUCCAGACUCCUCCGGGAGGCAGCAGUGGGGAAUAUUGGCCAAUGGGCGCAAGCCUGCUGCAGCCAUGCCGCGUGUGUGAAGAAGGCCUUCGGGUUGUAAAGUACUUUCAGCGGGGAGGCGUUACCCGCAGAAGAAGCACCGGCUAACUCCGUGCCAGCCGCCGCGGUAAUAC
rnacentral:rRNA from 1 species